rnacentral:rRNA from 1 species
GAUGAACGCUGACAGAAUGCUUAACACAUGCAAGUCGAUGGGGAAGUGGUGCUUGCACCACGGCAACCAUGGCGGACGGGUGAGUAACGCGUAAGGGACUUACCUGCAGGACUGGGAUAACAGGGGGAAACUCCUGACAAGACCGGAUAAUGUCAUGGAGCUGCAUGGCUUUAUGAUGAAAGGAGACGCCUGCGGAGAGCCUUGCGUCCUAUUAGCUAGUUGGUGAGGUAAUGGCUCACCAAGGCGAAGAUAGGUAGCCGGCCUGAGAGGGUGGACGGCCACAAGGGGACUGAGAUACGGCCCUUACUCCUACGGGAGGCAGCAGUGGGGAAUAUUGGACAAUGGGGGCAACCCUGAUCCAGCAAUUCUGUGUGCACGAAGAAGGUUUUCGGAUUGUAAAGUGCUUUCAGCAGGGAAGAAGUAAGUGACGGUACCUGCAGAAGAAGCGACGGCUAAAUACGUG